UAGAGUUACCAAACUCCAAACCCAUGUGAACUUACCAGUUUGUUGCCUCGGCAGGCCUCCGCAUCUCGUCUCCGGGCGGGUACGGAUCUCACAGGUCUGCCGGUGGUCCAUUAAACUCAUGAAUUACCCUGUAAAUCUGAGCGUUUUAAACAAAUAAGUUA
rnacentral:misc_RNA from 2 species